AUACAUGCAAGUCGAGCGGACAGAAGGGAGCUUGCUCCCGGAUGUUAGCGGCGGACGGGUGAGUAACACGUGGGUAACCUGCCUGUAAGACUGGGAUAACUCCGGGAAACCGGAGCUAAUACCGGAUAGUUCCUUGAACCGCAUGGUUCAAGGAUGAAAGACGGUUUCGGCUGUCACUUACAGAUGGACCCGCGGCGCAUUAGCUAGUUGGUGAGGUAACGGCUCACCAAGGCGACGAUGCGUAGCCGACCUGAGAGGGUGAUCGGCCACACUGGGACUGAGACACGGCCCAGACUCCUACGGGAGGCAGCAGUAGGGAAUCUUCCGCAAUGGACGAAAGUCUGACGGAGCAACGCCGCGUGAGUGAUGAAGGUUUUCGGAUCGUAAAGCUCUGUUGUUAGGGAAGAACAAGUGCAAGAGUAACUGCUUGCACCUUGACGGUACCUAACCAGAAAGCCACGGCUAACUACGUGCCAGCAGCCGCGGUAAUACGUAGGUGGCAAGCGUUGUCCGGAAUUAUUGGGCGUAAAGGGCUCGCAGGCGGUUUCUUAAGUCUGAUGUGAAAGCCCCCGGCUCAACCGGGGAGGGUCAUUGGAAACUGGGAAACUUGAGUGCAGAAGAGGAGAGUGGAAUUCCACGUGUAGCGGUGAAAUGCGUAGAGAUGUGGAGGAACACCAGUGGCGAAGGCGACUCUCUGGUCUGUAACUGACGCUGAGGAGCGAA
rnacentral:rRNA from 1 species